rnacentral:lncRNA from 1 species
AAAGAUAGCUUUAUCUCUCACUUGACCUGUUGAAUAGUUUGUCAUUUCCAGCAGCAAUCACUGAACAUCUGCCCAACCUGAAAGCCAAGAGCAACAGAAGUCCUCUUCCCACAGCCCCACAGAACCAGGUACCCGCAGACCAGAGAUGACAGGAAGCUCAAAGAAACAUCCCUGGCACGAUACACACACCAGAAAUCCUGAAGAACAGAGAGCACAGAACAAGCCCUGCCCAACGCUGCACAGCUUGUUCCAGCAUCCUGUGCUACUGCUGCUAUUUCCUGCAGGGUGAAAUACUUCCAUCAGUUCAUCUGAAAGUUCACGGAGAUGCAGACUAUGAUUAGCAAACACUGACAUCCCACGCAGCGCACGGACAUCCAUCCUGCUUGUUAAAGACAUACCAAACAUAGGAAGUCAGGGCUGCAUGGCUAUAGGAUACACAGCUGAGUAAACCAGGCACCACGGAGCAUACACCACUGCAAGCUGUUCUUGUUUAGCUGCACAUAAAGCAAAAUAUUACAUAUUUUUCCUUAAGAUGACAUGCAUGAGGCACCUCAAAGCUAUACUACUACCAGCUGCUGCUUAUAGAAGCAUCUAUGGGCUUCUCAGAAGAUCUCUGAAGAAAUAGGUUCAGAAACUUUUGUAUUCUUCAGCUGUAAUACAGAUAGAGCCAGUUGAUAAUGAGACCAGAGUAUAAUAAAACCUGAAUAUUUCUGCAUUUGCCACUGAUGAAGAAUCAAAACAAAAGGCCUUUUGCCAUGAAUCAUCAGGGACAGCAUGCAGCUACAACAAUGAGACCAACAGAUGUGGGUUGUGCUGUUGCAGAAAUCAAAUGUCCUUCCAGAACAUUAUUCACUCAUUUAGAAAUACAGAACAGCUUUGUUGGGAUACACAGGCAAGAAGUAUCGCUACAGAGGAAAGGAAAGGGAAGAAAUGGGCUGCCAGAUCAGAGAGUUCAGCUGCCUGAAGCGAACCAGAAAAGCCCCUCAGUGCUUUACACUUUCGUGUAGAUUGGUUUUCUUAAUAAAACAAAAUGAUCGACACCUCAAGCCACAAACUGAAAUUAAAGGACCUCAGACAAG